rnacentral:rRNA from 1 species
GUGUCAGCAGCCGCGGUAAUACGGAGGAUCCGAGCGUUAUCCGGAAUUAUUGGGUUUAAAGGGUUCGUAGGCGGCCUUAUAAGUCAGGGGUGAAAUCUCUCAGCUCAACUGAGAACUUGCCUUUGAUACUGUAUGGCUUGAAUAGUAGUGAAGUAACUAGAAUAUGUAGUGUAGCGGUGAAAUGCAUAGAUAUUACAUGGAAUACCAAUUGCGAAGGCAGGUUACUAAUUAUUUAUUGACGCUGAUGAACGAAAGCGUGGGUAGCGAACAGGAUUAGAUACCCUGGUAGUCCACGCCGUAAACGAUGGAUACUAGCUGUUUGAUUUUCGGAUUGAGUGGCUAAGCGAAAGUGAUAAGUACCCCACCUGGGGAGUACGUUCGCAAGAAUGAA